CCCGACUCUCUCUCGGCCGUGUAAGCAAUGUUGAAAUAUUGCUCACUUGUAACAGAGAAAACUGAGCAUUCUCAGGCUUAUCCUCAACCCAUUUUUAUUUUUUAUGACUGUUGUGAAGCCCAGCCCUUCCCCGAAAGCCGUGUUCACUGCAAGCUAGGCGCUAAUAACGCACAGGUGCAUCGCUACGGUAACGACUCUCUCGCUAUUUGAUGACGUAAUUGCUGCAUGAAAUCCGAUUUGCGGGACUGGACAGUACAGACCGCCGCGACAGUCUGGAAAAAUGUGGCCCAGAUCGGAUUUAGACCACAUACGAAAGUGACCCAGAUCGGAUUUGAAAUGGUCCCGUUCUAUGCGACGUUCAGACCGUCAAGUUAAUGCCUCACCUCCUUGUAUGUUUCAGUUGUUAGCACGAUAGGUUGCAGAACACAAUUGAGCGGCAACGCAGACAGAAAGAACUGCCUAACUGGCGAGUGAACACACAACCUGGAAAGCUUAUCUACAGAAAAGAUAAAUAGCAAGACCAACGCGUGGAGCGACAAAACGCGGCCCAACUGUGUUCAAAACACGGUGUGAGAGAUCGGUCAGGUUUUUUUUUUCCCCUUAGACCUUGUUUCAACUGGUCUUUGUGUCAGAUUGGAUAUUGGACCAACUGUUCUGGAUUUUGAUGGCGAGCUAACCACUUGGAUCUAGAUUGAGAUAACCUGGAUACCUCUUUGCUGCAUUCUCUUGGUGUGGUAGGACAAAAAACAAACAAACUUGGAGCUAAUACCUCACCAUUCAGCAUUACACUGUGCCUUACAUCGACAAGACUUUGACCAUUUUUUUUUUUAUGGACUUCUUUUGAUUAAUAUCCCGGGAACUGUGAACUGAAUAUCUUUUUGUUAGGACAAUUUUGACUGAACAAUUGCACAUGUGUAAUUUUGCAUAAGGAUUUGAAACAAUUUCCCAUGCUGAAGAAAAAAAAGUAUUUGAAGUUUGAUUGUGCCACUAUUUUUGGGGCAAUAGAUUGAAAAUCAGAAAUUCCAGUUAGACUAAAAGGUACUGCCUAAAUAUUCUAACUUUGGAAGGGUGCACCCAAACCAACCCAAAAUCGAAAAUAUUGACUUAAUUAUUGGCCAAAUAUAGGUUAUAACUGUGUAUAUGUGUUAAAUGUGUUUUGUUUUUUUGUAUAUGUAUAAAGUUUGUGUUUUUUUUUCUUCACUAAAG